rnacentral:rRNA from 1 species
UACGAAGGGUGCAAGCGUUACUCGGAAUUACUGGGCGUAAAGCGUGCGUAGGUGGUUCGUUAAGUCUGAUGUGAAAGCCCUGGGCUCAACCUGGGAAUGGCAUUGGAAACUGGCGACCUAGAGUGCGGUAGAGGGUAGUGGAAUUCCCGGUGUAGCGGUGAAAUGCGCAGAUAUCGGGAGGAACACCAAUGGCGAAGGCAGCUUGCUGGGACGGUACUGACGCUGAGGCGCGAAAGCGUGGGGAGCAAACAGG